rnacentral:rRNA from 1 species
GAUGAACGCUGGCGGCGUGCCUAAUACAUGCAAGUCGAGCGGACGGACGAGAAGCUUGCUUCUCUGAUGUUAGCGGCGGACGGGUGAGUAACACGUGGAUAACCUACCUAUAAGACUGGGAUAACUUCGGGAAACCGGAGCUAAUACCGGAUGAUAUUUUGAACCGCAUGGUUCAAAAGUGAAAGACGGUCUUGCUGUCGCUUAUAGAUGGAUCCGCGCUGCAUUAGCUAGUUGGUAAGGUAACGGCUUACCAAGGCAACGAUGCAUAGCCGACCUGAGAGGGUGAUCGGCCACACUGGAACUGAGACACGGUCCAGACUCCUACGGGAGGCAGCAGUAGGGAAUCUUCCGCAAUGGGCGAAAGCCUGACGGAGCAACGCCGCGUGAGUGAUGAAGGUCUUCGGAUCGUAAAACUCUGUUAUUAGGGAAGAACAUAUGUGUAAGUAACUGUGCACAUCUUGACGGUACCUAAUCAGAAAGCCACGGCUAACUACGUG